rnacentral:rRNA from 1 species
GACGAACGCUGGCGGCGUGCUUAACACAUGCAAGUCGAACGGAAAGGCCUCUUUCGGGGGGUACUCGAGUGGCGAACGGGUGAGUAACACGUGAGUAACCUGCCCUUGACUUUGGGAUAACUUCAGGAAACUGGGGCUAAUACCGGAUAGGAGCUCCUGCUGCAUGGUGGGGGUUGGAAAGUUUCGGCGGUUGGGGAUGGACUCGCGGCUUAUCAGCUUGUUGGUGGGGUAGUGGCUUACCAAGGCUUUGACGGGUAGCCGGCCUGAGAGGGUGACCGGCCACAUUGGGACUGAGAUACGGCCCAGACUCCUACGGGAGGCAGCAGUGGGGAAUAUUGCACAAUGGGUGGAAGCCUGAUGCAGCAACGCCGUGUGCGGGAUGACGGCCUUCGGGUUGGAAACCGCUUUCGCUCAUGACGAAGCUUUGUGUGACGGUAGUGGGUAAAGAAGCACCGGCUAACUAUGUG